UAUAAACAGGGUAGUUUGCUGCUGGCAGCCCAGGCAGCAACAUUGCCUGGCUGUGAGGCUCCAUAACAACUUGGAGGGGCAGACCCCGAGGGACCUCUCUCAGCAUCCACGGGAUACUUUAUCUAUCAGGCUCACACUGAUUUCAGCAGCAGGUGGCUGGAGCAACGGCAGGAUCCCCAGCAGGACGUGGCCCUAAGCAUCUCUUCAGAUAGCAGUUUGAAUUACACAGGUAUUGGAUACCAGGGUCCAGAAACCAGGGUCUGACUCCAGGGUCUGAAACGCUGUCCUAGCACUUUCCAAGUUCACAAGUACGACAUUACAGGGAGUCACUAUACUCACUUGCUCUCCCAGUCUGAAUUAAGUCACCAAGACCGACUGAAAAAUGAAUGCUCUUGCUUUUGCAUGAAGUAAAACAUAACGGACCAUAUCUACAAAGGGUUGGCUCUGCUGAGUGCUGAGUUCCAUGAACAGAGAUCAUAUUGAUGAAAAGAAAAUCACAAAUACACUGAUGGUAAAAGAGCAACAAAAACCCAUGGCUACUACAAGCCAGCAACUCUGCACUCUUUUGAAGUUACAAUGAGGACAUGGAUACCCAUCAAAUGUAACCCAUAUGUAUCCUUGGGUGGACAGUGGGGUGAAUGUGAGAGCACAGCGUGGGAAGAAUGGGAUUUACCACUUUCCACAAUGGGGGCCAGAGAAAGAGAACUAUAUCCUCUUUUUGGGGGGAGUCUCUUGUGUGGGCUCAGAACCUUUUCUGGGAAUCUCUUGAAUGGGCUCAUGAAUGAUACUUCUGUUGCAGCACUAGAUUCAAGGACUAUCUAUUGUAGGAUUUUAACAGCAAAGUUGCUAAUGGAUCUUGGGCCCUUCUCUCUAUUUGGGACAAAAGUUCUGCCUAGGGUAGAAAC